rnacentral:hammerhead_ribozyme from 17 species
CAAGCGUCUGGGGUAAGGAGUCGCGCUGCCAUCAGUCCCACUGAUGAGUCUUAAGCAGUGAUUCCGAGACGAAACGCAGA